ACAAAAUAUUUAUAUUCCUUGUGUAAACAUAAUUUAAUUGAUUAGGAUGAAAAUGUUUUGUUUGAAUGUAAAAUGAACACAUUAUUCUCACAUUGAUUAAAAUUGAUUGAAUUGAAUACUUAAAGCAAUAAAAUUGAGUUUGCACACAAAAUGGCACCUCCUGAGCAGAAGGUGGCAGUAACGCUCAAUAAAAAGGACGUCAAUCGCCAUAAAAGAAGAAUAAACAUCGUUUGUUUUGGGCGCCAAAAUGAAGACUCAGCAGCAGCAGACAGCAGUCAGUCAGAAGAACUCUCUCAGACGGACAUCACGUUAUUAAAGUCCAUCAUCCUUUUAUGCACUGACUACACACUCAAAAGCAUUGAUAAAUGCUGAAUUUAAAAGAAUCACUACUGUCUUAUGUUCCUGCGUGUCACCUGGACCUCCAAUCCAAAAACCUGACGAAACUCUUCUAUCAGAAAGGAGGACAGCUAGCAAAAAGACUUCAAACAAUGAAUGAUCAAAUGACAGAAGGCAUGAAUGAAGUCAGCAUCAGUGUGGUCAUUUGAAGACACCACUGUUGGGAUUUGUGCUCUCAAACAACAUGCUUCUUGUGAUGAAGAAGAGGAUCUUUGUAUAGUCCUGGAAGGCAUGAAGGUGUUGCAACAUCGUGCCAUGUUGUUUGAGCUGAUGUAUGCCUUAAACCUGAGCUAUCCUGAUCUCUGCUUUAUUUUUGACAGGGUACCCGCGGAGUCUUAAAAGUCUUGAAAAAGUAUUGAAUUUCAUUUUCCCAUAUUAAGGCCUUAAAAGGUAUUGAAUUUCACCUCAAAGUCUUGAAUUUUUCACGAAGGUCUUAAUUUUUCAAAUGAUCAAUAGAUUUAUAUGCUGUUAAUUCAGACACAAAACUCGCGUGCACAAAAACCAUGCGCGAGCGACAGAUACGAGCGGAGAACACUAUCCAUGUUUGGAAAAGCAUCUUAGCAAGCGCGCAGAACACUAUCCACGCGCGGGAAAGCAUUCUCGCGUGUUCACAGAACACUAUUCGCGCGCAGAAAAACGUCCUCCCGGGAGCGCACCUCUGUUCAAAGCGCACAAACACAGUCACGCGAGCAAAGUAAAAAGUUAAGUAAAAAAGCUGGGAUGAUAAAGUAAAGGCUGGGAUGAGCGCUCGCUCGACUUUCUCUAUGCGCUCGGAGCUGCACAACACGCACUAGCUCGUUCAAGUUGACUUUGGGACUGUGGGGCGGGACAAUGACGGGUGUCCUCUCACCUGUGAUCGGUUGUUUGAUUUAAUCAGUGACACACACAAUCUUCUGUUCCACAAUCUGUCUCUAGUAAAUUUAGGUAGAGAAGACACGUUUUAAUAUGAUCAUUAUGUCGGAGAAGGUCAUUUAUAUGUUAAACAAUAGUCUUGUGUGAUCCAUGCAAUAAUAAGCUGCAACAAUAACGCAAAUUUGAAAGCUAUUAUAUAUUUUGUUUACUGUUUAAUUAGAUGUCAACUUGCAAUACAUACUAUAGGCUACAUAUUUACAUUGUCACACUAAGUUAGCAUUAGAAAACUUUCGUAUGGUCCUGUAUAAAGAUUAACAUAAAUAUAUCUAUAUAUGAGCUUGUGUCCAGUUUUUUGUUUGGUGCAGUAAACAGAUCUCUUGUCUUUUUAGGGUCAAAAUAGAAUUACAUUUUAAUUUGUUGUUUUGUUUGAGGGGGUUUUGUUUCAUUUGCCAUAAUAUGGUUAAUUUUGUUUGUCAGUAUUGUUCUGGUUCAGAGCAUUAGUGAUGAGUGUUAUUAGAUGUUGUUAUUAUCUUAACUAUAUUAAACAGCAAAAAAAUUAAUACCUUAAAAUUGGUGUUAUUGUUUGGCUUAUUUCAUGGAUCAAACAAGGCUAUUGUUUUAACAUAAAUUACCUUAUCCGACAUAAUGGUCAUAUUAAAACGUGGCGGGCUGCACAAGAUAAAGAGGAGGGCCGCAUGUGGCCCCUGGCCCUCCAGUUGCCCAUCCCUGAUUUAGGGAUUUUCAAAUUUUAAUAAGUGUACAUUUAGAUCUAUUUGAUUGUUGGUUUUGAUUGUUGGGUAAAGAUAAGGGUUAGGCCGUUUGGGGUAUAUUACGUUAUUUAAAAUUAUUUAUUCUACCCGACUGAA